UCCCAGCUCCUCACACUGUGUGAUCAGUAUAGAGGAGAGACCAAAAACGAUGGACUUGGGGCUUAUUUGGCUUUUUCUUGUUGUUAUUUUAAAAGGUGUCCAUUGUGAGGCACAGCUGGUUGAAUCUGGUGGAGGAUUAGUGGAGUCUGGAAAGUCCCUGAAACUCUCCUGUUUGGCCUCUGGAUUCACCUUCAGUAACUAUGAAAUGAAUUGGGUCCGCCAGGCUCCAGGGAAGGGGCUGGAGUGGGUCGCAUACAUUAGUGGUAGCAGUAGUUACAUAGAAUAUGGCGACGCCGUGAAGGGCCAAUUCACCAUCUCCAGAGACAAUGCCAAGAAUACUCUGUACCUGCAAAUUAACAAUCUCAAAUCUGAGGACACACCCACAUAUUACUGUACCAGAGACACAGUGAGUGAAUGCUAUUGUGAGCUCAGACACAAACCUCCCUGUAGGAAAUUCAGGACCAGCAGGGGGCGCUGGGAGCACACAGAGCUCUGGCUCACAGAAGAGGCUAUUUAG